UUGUGGAUGAUUGGGAUGCUGUUAGAAUUGCGUUACUAUAUUUCUUAGUUCAUGGUGUACUCGGAAUGGAUCCGAAGGUUCAAAUAAAAAAAAAAAUUCAUUGAUUUGGUUGCUGAUCUCGACGUAUUUAAUUCCUACCCUUGGGGCAUUCUGAGCUACAAGGAGACGAUCAACUCAUUCCACAAUGCAUUCCAGCAACGAGGACGUGCAGUAAAGAAUAAAUCACAGUAUUAUGACCUAAAAGGUUUUCCAUUGGUGUUUCAGGUGUGGGGGUUUGAAGCAAUCCCUGAUUUUGGUAACCAAUUUGCCGACCGGUUGGAAACCCGUUGUCCGAGGAUCCUUGGAUGGCAUACUCCAAGGCAACCGAACCAUUUUGCUGUCCAUAAUUGGUUCUCCUCCAAUAGCAAUUAUGUUGUGCACUGGACGUUAGAUGCUACCGAUGAGGAGAAGACUAUGGAUUACUGGCGAACAAUAGCAGUUGACAUACAUGAAGUUCGCUACACGUCACCUCCAAUUGUAGCACCAAUAGUUGGCGCUAAAGAUGUUG